rnacentral:rRNA from 1 species
UGGGCGUUUGAUCCUGGCUCAGGAUGAACGCUGGCGGCGUGCCUAAUACAUGCAAGUCGAGCGAACCACUUCGGUGGUGAGCGGCGAACGGGUGAGUAACACGUAGGUGAUCUGCCCAUCAGACGGGGACAACGAUUGGAAACGAUCGCUAAUACCGGAUAGGACGAAAGUUUAAAGGUGCUCCUGGCACCGCUGAUGGAUGAGCCUGCGGCGCAUUAGCUAGUUGGUAGGGUAAAGGCCUACCAAGGCGACGAUGCGUAGCCGACCUGAGAGGGUGAACGGCCACACUGGGACUGAGACACGGCCCAGACUCCUACGGGAGGCAGCAGUAGGGAAUCUUGCGCAAUGGGCGAAAGCCUGACGCAGCAACGCCGCGUGCGGGAAGAAGGCCUUCGGGUUGUAAACCGCUUUCAGCGGGGAAGAAGGCGAGCGGGUUAAUAGCCCGUCAGCUGACGGUACCCGCAGAAGAAGGUCCGGCUAACUACGUGCCAGCAGCCGCGGUAAUAGCU